UUAAUGGCUAAUGCCGGAUACGCAUGGAACCGCAUGGUUCCGUUGUGAAAGGCGCUGUAAGGCGCCACUAAAAGAUGAGGGUGCGGAACAUUAGUUAGUUGGUGAGGUAAUGGCCCACCAAGACUAUGAUGUUUAGCCGGGUCGAGAGACUGAACGGCCACAUUGGGACUGAGAUACGGCCCAAACUCCUACGGGAGGCAGCAGUAGGGAAUAUUCCACAAUGAGCGAAAGCUUGAUGGAGCGACACAGCGUGCACGAUGAAGGUCUUCGGAUUGUAAAGUGCUGUAUAAGGAAGAACAUGCAGUUUAC
rnacentral:rRNA from 1 species